rnacentral:rRNA from 1 species
GAGACAGCAGCCGCCGCGGUAAUACGAAGGGGGCUAGCGUUGCUCGGAAUGACUGGGCGUAAAGGGCGCGUAGGCGGUUUUGACAGUCAGAUGUGAAAUUCCUGGGCUUAACCUGGGGGCUGCAUUUGAGACGUCAAGACUAGAGUGUGAGAGAGGGUUGUGGAAUUCCCAGUGUAGAGGUGAAAUGCGUAGAGAUCUGGAGGAAUACCGGUGGCGAAGGCGGCCCCCUGGACAAAGACUGACGCUGAGGCACGAAAGCGUGGGGAGCAAACAGGAUUAGAUACCCGGGUAGUCCCUGUCUCUUAUAC